GAUGAACGCUGGCGGCGUGCCUAAUACAUGCAAGUAGAACGCCGAAGGAGGAGCUUGCUUCGCUGGAUGAGUUGCGCACGGGUGAGUAACGCGUAGGUAACCUGCCUGGUAGCGGGGGAUAACUAUUGGAAACGACAGAUAAUACCGCAUAAGAGUAGAUGUCGCAUGAGAUUCGCUUGAAAGCGGCAAUUGCAUCACUACCAGAUGGAACUGCGUUGUAUUAGUUAGUUGGUGAGGUAACGGCCUACCAAGGCAACGAUCCUUAGCCGACCAGAGAGGGGGACCGCCCCCCCUGGAACGGAGCCCCGGCCAGGACCCCUCCGGGAGGCACCAGUGGGGAAUUUCGGCCAUAGGCCGAAAGCCUGACGCGGCACUCCCGCGUGGUGGAGGAGGGCCUCCGGUCUUUAAACUCUGUUUUUAAGGAAGGACGAGGGUGUGAGUGAAACGUGCACAUCGUGACGGUACCUUACCAGAAAGCGACGGCUAACUACGUG
rnacentral:rRNA from 1 species